rnacentral:rRNA from 1 species
UACGUAGGGUCCGAGCGUUGUCCGGAAUUACUGGGCGUAAAGAGCUCGUAGGUGGUUUGUCGCGUUGUUCGUGAAAACUCACAGCUCAACUGUGGGCGUGCGGGCGAUACGGGCAGACUGGAGUACUGCAGGGGAGACUGGAAUUCCUGAUGUAGCGGUGGAAUGCGCAGAUAUCAAGGAGGAACACCGGUGGCGAAGGCGGGUCUCUGGGCAGUGAACUGACGCUGAGGAGCGAAAGCGUGGGGAGCGAACAGG